rnacentral:piRNA from 1 species
UAUGUACAAGUUAAAUAACAAAGGAGAG